rnacentral:tRNA from 1 species
UCAGGAGUAGCUCAACCGGCAGAGCAUCGGGCUGUUAACCCGAGGGUUGUGGGUUCGAGUCCCACCUCCUGAGCCA